rnacentral:lncRNA from 1 species
UGUAGCGUGUUUCAUCAAGAUCCAAGCAGCGCAUGAGCUGUUGAUUCAUGAUGAAAGGAGAAGGGCAUAUGAUAGAGAGCAUCAUGUGAACCCGAUGAAGGUCUUAUAAUUUUCUUAGCCACUCAUGUUAUCAUUUCAUUUUGUGCAAGAUGCAGUUCCACUCCAGUUUUGUUCUUAUUUGUAGUUAACUUUUGUUGGUUUCUAAGUUUAGGAUUUAAUCCAUGUGGAAUAAAUGAAUAAACAUAGCUGCUUGGAUUGCUCAGGUUAUUUUGCUACAUAAUUGCUCUGAUAGUGUCCCUCUAUUGUGUUUCAGAUUACCACCGUAUCAUGAUUCAUCAGCUCUAACAUGCCUGAGCCAACACUAUGCUUCUCCACUUCAGGACAUGGAUAUGACUCUUCUAUGUUUAAGCCACG